AUGGUGAUGGCAAGCUGGCCAGGCACCUGGAGAGGACAAACAGAGCAUGAGACCAAAGAGGAGAAGAGAGAGGAGGGUCAGCACCCCAGUACUCAGGAGGCUGAAGCUGGAGAGGUCAAUGGACUCAAUACAGAGACUCUAUCUCAAAAAACAAAUGGCAAAUAAGUAAAUAAACGGACGUGAUCUCUGCUGCUGGAACCUUGCUCCGAGCUCACCUUCAGGGCUGGAACCAGAGACCCCCAAAGCUCAGCUGAGCCUCACCUGUGACUGGCUUCAACUCUGUUCCCAGGUCCCUCCUGCCACAGAUGAUGUGUGCAGCUGGGCAGGGGAACACAGGCCUCAAGGACCAGCGUGGGACACUCUGCUUCUGUCUGUGCCUUCUGAUCCUGUCCUGAGUCUGAGGGACCAAAACGUAGCCGUUUCGAUGGUUGCUGGGCAAAAGCCCACGUUCCAGAUGCUUUGUCAUUUGUCCUCAUCUGUGACCUUCCAGGGGCCCCAUCCUGCUCCAAUUUUGGCAGCUACUUUCUGAUUCCUCGUGCACAGUAAGGGUGAGAUGAGUUAGAAGGACAAAAGUAGGCUGAAAAAGUAGUGAAGGAUCAGCAUUAACAUGCAUUUUAAUAAUAUUUUUGACUUACCCUCAAGGGUUUUGAAAUGACAAAGUCUAACAAAAUGGUCCCAGUUCAACAAGGCACAGUUCAGAUUCCUCAGAUGGCCUAACUGUAGCUCUCUAGCUGACUCAGGAAACAGUGGUGUCCUCGUUCUCUUCAAUGUGAAUGACAUGUUGGAUUGAGAGGAAAACCCAUUGAAAAGUAAGGUGAUUUUCUUCUAACAACAACACAAACCUCAACAAGCAAUUCCAUUUCUUUCUUUGCAGCAACUUAUUUCAGCACAUGUGGAAUAAUAUUCAUAAUGAACAUUUGUGAGUAUAUUUGCCCUAAAUAUGGUUAUGGGAUAUCUUGCCCAUUUCUGUGAUCUAUUAAAAGUGCUUUAAGAACAUAAUGAAAGUGGGGCAAAGUGGCACACACCUAUAAUCCUAGCUACUCAGGUAGCUGAGGCAGGAUAAUCUCAAGCUUAAGGCCAUCCUGGAAAACCUAAUAAGACCCUGUCUUGCAGUAAAAAAAGAAAAAAGAAAAAAGUGGGACUGAGCGUGAGGAUGUCGCUCAGGGGUAGAACACCCCUGAGCUCUCAGUGGUAGAACCUCAGCCAGGCUCCCAGGAAGCAGCAGGGAGGGCGUGUAGGUUUCCUCUGAAGCAGCUUCUUCCCUGGUCCCGCUGCCUGCUGUCUCCAGCCCAGCCACACUGUGACUGCACCAGAAUUCUGCUCAUCAGGGGCCCUGUGGCACCAGUAAGUAUAUUCCUAACACAGAAAACAAUGAACAAAAACAAAAAUAUCUCACAAAACAAAACAAGCUUCACUGGUCAAAUUUGCAUAAUGCUUUUAAACUUUUUCUAUUUUAAGCUUUUUAAAAAUCCCUUCCUCAUGGUGUGUGGGUGGGGGGCCUGAAACAGCUCAAAAUAUAAAGGCAAGGAAAGGAGGUGGAUAUGGUAGCACAUAGGUGUAAUCCCAGCUACUCAGGAGGCAGACGCACAGGAUUUCGAGUUUGAGCCUAGAGGAGGCUAGGUAUCCUGCCUCAAAAAAUAAAAAAUAAGAAUAAAAAAUAAAGGAGAAAGAGAACAGAAGCUGCUAGAUCCUCAGAUGGUUAAACAUGAACUGAGGGGAAGUUCUCCCUGCUUUGAUUAAAGUGAGUAAGAACAUCUCUACUUUGAAUUAUGUUUUGUACCAAAUUGAAAAACCACAUCUUCAUUUAAAUUAAAAAAAAAACCAAAACACCAAAUUUUAUGAAAUCGUAGGAAGUUUCAUGUUAGCAUUCUGGAAAAAAAAUCACAAGAAAUUUGGUACAAAAAAAUUAAAUUGCUUUCGUUAUCUACAAGAAUUCAAAGUUAAAAACUAGAAAAACUCACCACUACCACUGAAAUGUACAUUAUCUUCAAUUUAUAUGUUGUGUUCUAAAGUUCCAGGACAACAGGAAAUUAGAAUAAUUUCUAAGAAAGUAUCAAAGAAAUAAAAAUCAGAUAUAAAGGAGACAAGGAGGUUGAGAUUUUAAAAAUCCUACUUAACUACCGCUUCAAAACACAAAAGUUACUUAAGCCUUUUUCCCUUCCAGGAAACUCACUCCAAAAAAUAAAUAAAUAAAAUUAAAAAAAUAAAAUUCCUAAAGGUCCUAAAGACAAUACGCUUGUAAA